GCCAUCUUGUCCGCGGAUGGCAGACGUGUUUCUUGCCGCCGCUGCUGCUCCUCUUCCUCGCCUCCUCUGCGACGCUUCCUCCUCUUCUCUUCUCCCACUCUAGUCAUGGCGGUGGCGGCCGGGCCAGGCGGCGGCGGCGGCCGGAAACGGAGAAGCGGGCGGGCUGGGAGAGCGUCCUCGUCGCCUUCAACCUCCCCACGCGAGAGAGGAAAAAGUAGGGACGGUGAAGCCUUGGGUUACAUGACAAAUGCAAAAAACUUUUCAAACAGGUGUGCCUGCAAUGGAACAUUGGAUUUCAGCAAUAUUAUUGGUUCUGCAUACAAGGAUACUACCAAAUGGAGUUGAAAUUGCAGCUGCGUUAAGUUUGGUGACAUUUGCAAAGGAUUGGUUGAAAGAACAGAGUCACAAUACAGGAAAACGGUUAUGCUGUUGUGGGCUGGUCAAGCAGUGACCGGGCCCUGGUGGACUGCAACUUGCCCAAACCAUACCCUGAUCCGCAACUCUACUUUUCUCUUCAAUUUUUGCUCCUGGUGUGCUUUGGAAUGUGGUCGCCUAGCGCAGCUUGCCCCCUUAGAGCCUAGCAUAAUUUGUAUUGGAGCAGACUUUAAUUAAUUAGAUGUGUGAUGUGUCUGUUUACAAAAUAUUUGUUGUUUCUUUGCAAGUUUAUCAUGUUCCAGGGGCUACACAUGCCUUGAUAAUAGCACCACAAAUGUCCAGGUUCAUAUGCAGUUUUAUUUUAGGCAUAAUAGCAACCUUAUUUUAUAGGUGAAGGUAAAAGAGCUUCCUGCUCAGGCCUGACUAGCCAUUUUGUGAUCUCUGUAAUAUGAUAUGAUUGUUGUUUUGAAGUUGGUUACGUUAGUCCCCUAUUUAUUUUGAAGGAUCCUUCGUCCGUCUGAUCAUUUUUGCGUCUUCACAGGUUGUUCUCCUGUUUUUGACUGCAUCCUUGCACCGUCGUUACAAGCGAUUUCCCUUCACUACAGCCCCUUUCAUGUCGUCGUUACAAGAGAUUUCACAGUUUCCCCUUGUUACCAUGUUCUUCAGUUAAAAUGCAGUUGUAGUGCUCCAAAGGCUAAACCUUGAAAUCAAAUGUAAUUUUGAAGCCAUUCUUGAUUAUUUUGCCAGCUGCGGUACAUGAUCAGAACUAAGGCGACAAUGGCCAGACUAUGUAAGUUAUUCAUUCAAUGUUUUUCUACAUCCUGAUUAAUGGGCAGUUCGGAGAGCGUUGUGUAAUCUCUACUUUAAUGAACUAUAUUAUAUCGGUUAUUUUAUUCUUCCUUUUUUUAUUCAUUGGCUUUACUACUUUAUAGACACCUACCAGAGGCUAUAAGGAAAGUGAGCUUGAAUUAUGGUGCAGGAUGUCAGUAAAACAUGUGAAUGAAUCAAGAAUUGUGUAUGUAGAUAUUGAUGCAAGUUGGUUGCAUUUUAGAGAUUGAACAACACCUGCUUCGUGUUUGUGUAGAAAGAGGAUGGCAUACUUUGCAUAAACUUGUGUAAUAUAUCAUUGUUUUAUUUCUGGGUCAGCAUUGAUUUUUUUCUCCAUUCAAAGAAAUUGUUUGCUAAAAGGGGCAAAUAACCAUCUUAUAUUUCUAGAUAAUAUUCAGAUUCAUUAAAAUAGUGGUUUCAAGUGUCGCAUUCAAUACUAGAGUAAUAAGGAUUAAGGUACAGAACUUUGUAUGUUGUGUAAGAAUAAAACCAUUUGUUUAUCUUGCCAAGUUUCAGUAUUAUUACUUACGAUAUCAUUCUAUCAAUUGAUGAUAAGACAAUUGCCUAGAAAGAGCAGCGAUAAGACAAUUUACAAAGACACAAUAUAGUUAUAUUUUGCAUUUCUAGGAAAUUGCUGCUCAUUGAUAUUUGUUUGAGCUUCUAAUUUCUGUUUCCCCUAGAUUAUUGUUAAUGCUUUACCUUUUAUAUUAUAUAGUUCAAGCACUCAGAAGAACUUCUCUUGUCAUAGGUCUGGUGCAUAGAUUUAAUUGAUACAUUGCCAGUUUGGACAACACCUUCAAACAUUAUCUUGGAAAGAGUUCAUCUGCACAACAAGACUUGGAUGGAAAGGCCUUUCUGCCCCAGCACAACAUAACUCCUGGGGUCAUAUUCGGCCUCCCAAGGUCCUACUAGGGUUGUUCUUUCUAAGGGUGAAGCAUUGCCAGUUGUGCCAAUGCCGGGCAAAAGGAAUAGCUCUCUUGAAGGACAAAAUGCUGUAACUCUCUUCAUAUACAAGAUAGAACUUAUGACUUCAAUUCCGGUAUAAUUUCGCCACUUGCGCCUGUGGCGCAAUGGGUCAUAUAUUCUCUGAGGUUCCCUAAUGUUUCUGAAAGCUGCCCUCAUGUUUGCUAAUGUUUGAUUUGUGCUGUCGCAAGUAGCUUUUGUUUGCACUACUGGACGAACUAUGUUGAGCUUUACUUCUAGGAGGCAAAUUACUCUUUAGCUUAAACAGAUACUAAGAUUUUACAGGACAUUUUACACGGCUCUUUGAUCACAUCUCCUGGUAUUUUGGGUCUUUCAGGUGAUAGAAAUAGCCAGAUGGAUCACGAAAACAUUGUGAAGAUGGUGAGAUAUUGCAAGGAGUCUGAUCCGUUCUGAGGAAUGCUUGUCUUUGAGUACCAGCCAAAUGGGACCCUCUACGGCAGCCAGAAUAACAACCUCAGUGAAGAAUGGGUGACCAAACUACUGCUUUGUCAACAUAAAACUCUGCUCAAUGGAGUUACCCUGCUGCCAGUGAAUCUGUAGAUAGUUCCAUAUCCUGAUGCUAAAGUUGCAGCCAAAAAAGAGAUGCAUCCAAUCCUCAGUGCACCUUGUGGGACACAACACACAGUGAAAGACAUUCUCCAAAGAAAAAACACGCACAUUGAAAGACAUCAGUGACAUUCCAGUGUCUUCUGCGAAGCAUGUCUCUGGUAUUUAGUCUAUCACUGAAAAGCAGCCAAGCAUGGUAUUUUCAAUUUAAAUCAUGAAGUGUGUUUUGUCACGGAUGUGAUACUCCGUGCUGCAAUCAUUCUUGCCACGAAGGAAUUCGUAGAGAUUACCACCUUUGAGAAGGUUAAAGAUACAAUAUGUUCUCCUCGAGUAAAAUUAGUUUUGCGCAUUCUGAAAUAGAAGUUAUGUCUUGCAACUUCUGGUCACUGCUCUUUGCUAUAAGAAUCAUUGGUUGUUCAGGUAAAAAAAAAAGAAUCAUUGGUUGUAACGAGAAUUCAUAGGGCAUAUUGUGGUGUUUAAAAUCUGAAUAGUCAGUUGCUCUUUUA